GCUUAACACAUGCAAGUCGAACGAGAUUUAUAGAAUUGAGUACUUCGGUAUGAUUUUUUAUAAUGAGAGUGGCAAACGGGUGAGUAACACGUGAAUAAUCUGCCUUAGAGUGGGGGAUAGCCAUUGGAAACGAUGGGUAAUACCCCAUAAUGCUAUUUUUUGGGAACAAAUUUUAGUUAAAGAUUUAUCGCUCUAAGAUGAGUUCGCGUCUUAUCAGCUUGUUGGUAAGGUAAUGGCUUACCAAGGCA
rnacentral:rRNA from 1 species